AUUGAACGCUGGCGGCAGGCCUAACACAUGCAAGUCGAACGCGUGGCGGACGGGUGAGUACUGUCUGGGAAACUGCCCGAUGGAGGGGGAUAACUACUGGAAACGGUAGCUAAUACCGCAUACCAUCGGAUGUCCCCACAUGUGAUUAGCUUGUAGGUGGGGUAACGGCUAACCUAGGCGACGAUCCCUAGCUGGUCUGUGAGGAUGACCAGCCACACUGGAACUGAGACACGGUCCAGACUCCUACGGGAGGCAGCAGUGGGGAAUAUUGCACAAUGGGCGAAAGCCUGAUGCAGCCAUGCCGCGUGUAUGAAGAAGGCCUUCGGGUUGUAAAGUACUUUCAGCGGGGAGGCGUUACCCGAAGAAGAAGCACCGGCUAACUCCGUGCCAGCAGCCGCGGUAAUAG
rnacentral:rRNA from 1 species